GGAUCUCUUGGUUCUCGCAUCGAUGAAGAACGCAGCGAAAUGCGAUAAGUAGUGUGAAUUGCAGAAUUCCGUGAAUCAUCGAAUCUUUGAACGCACAUUGCGCCU
rnacentral:rRNA from 3 species